rnacentral:rRNA from 1 species
UAGUCUACGCCGUAAACGAUGGAUACUAGUUGUUUGAUCUUCGGAUUGAGUGACUAAGCGAAAGUGAUAAGUAUCCCACCUGGGGAGUACGUUCGCAAGAAUGAAACUCAAAGGAAUUGACGGGGGCCCGCACAAGCGGUGGAGCAUGUGGUUUAAUUCGAUGAUACGCGAGGAACCUUACCAGGGCUUAAAUGUAGUCUGACAGCUUUAGAGAUAGAGUUUUCUUCGGACAGAUUACAAGGUGCUGCAUGGUUGUCGUCAACUCGUGCCGUGAGGUGUCAGGUUAAGUCCUAUAACGAGCGCAACCCCUAUUGUUAGUUGCCAGCGAGUAAUGUCGGGGACUCUAACAAGACUGCCGGCGUAAGCCGCGAGGAAGGUGGGGACGACGUCAAAUCAUCAUGGCCUUUAUGCCUAGGGCUACACACGUGCUACAAUGGGUGAGACAGAGGGUUGCCAAGCCGCGAGGUGGAGCUAAUCUCAGAAACUCACUCCCAGUUCGGAUUGGAGU